UGUACACUUGGAGUUCAAAUUGACUCUAGUAGGGAGUCCUUUUAUAUGAGUGACUCCCUAACGGAGUCAGAUUGAAUUACUUGGUGUUAUAAACAGC
rnacentral:pre_miRNA from 1 species